rnacentral:lncRNA from 1 species
GAAACAGCCUGACAGGGGCCUGGAGCAGCUGGCUGGCGUCAGUAAUUUCCUGCAGGAGACUCUGCUGGCCGAGCACACAUCACCCUUCUGUUGCUCCUCUGUAUUCUCCCUUGUGCUACUAAAAUACGCUAAUGUAACUCCUGGGCUGUGCUAAGCUAAAUGCAGUUAUUUAACCUCAUUUCUAUGGAACCCAGGUCUAAAGCAGCAACAUCUAUUUGGAACAAGAUGGGGAGGAGCAAGAGUGAAUUCAUGCUCUUCUUCAUGGAGGUGGAUGUUUCUGGAAGGAGGUUUGUGAUGUCCUUUGCAGGGACAUGGAUGGAGUUGGAAGCCCUUAUCCUCAGCAAACUAAUGCAGGAACAGAAAACCAAACACUGCAUGUUCUUACUUAUAAGUGGGAACUGAAUGAUGAGAACACAUGGACACAUAAGGGGAAAUGACACACACUGGGGCCUGUCAGAGCUGAGGGGUUGUGGGGAGAGGGAGAGAAUCAGGAAUAAUGGCUAAUGUAUGCUGUGCUUAAUAUCUAGGUGAUGGGAUGAUCUGUGCAGCAAACCACCAUGGCACACGUUUACCUAUGUAACAAACCUGGACAUCCUGCACAUGUAUC